rnacentral:rRNA from 1 species
GGCCAUUGCUAUCGGGGUCCGACUUAGCCAUGCUAGUCGUACGAGUUCGGACUCGUGGCGAAUAGCUCCGUAACACGUGGCCAAGCUACCCUUCGGAGAGGGAUACCCUCGGGAAACUGAGACUAAUACCUCAUCGGUGACGCCAACUGGAAUGUGGCGUCACUCAAAGGCUCCGGCGCCGAAGGAUGCGGCUGCGGCCGAUUAGGUAGACGGUGGGGUAACGGCCCACCGUGCCGAUAAUCGGUACGGGUUGUGAGAGCAAGAACCCGGAGACGGAAUCUGAGACAAAAUUCCGGGCCCUACGGGGCGCAGCAGGCGCGAAACCUUUACACUGCACGCCAGUGCGAUAAGGGGACCCCGAGUGCGCAGGCAUAGAGCCUGUGCUUUUCUGGACCGUAGGGAGGUCCUGGAAUAAGGGCUGGGCAAGACCGGUGCCAGCCGCCGCGGUAAUACCGGCAGCCCGAGUGAUGGCCGAUCUUAUUGGGCCUAAAGCGUCCGUAGCUGGCCCGUCACGUCCGUCGGGAAAUCUCUCCGCUCAACGGAGAGGCGACCGGCGGAAACUGACGGGCUUGGGACCGGAAGGCGCGACGGGUACGUCCGGGGUAGGAGUGAAAUCCCCGUAAUCCUGGACGGACCGCCGAUGGCGAAAGCACGUCGCGAGGACGGCUCCGACAGUGAGGGACGAAAGCUAGGGUCUCGAACCGGAUUAGAUACCCGGGUAGUCCUAGCCGUAAACGAUGCCUGUUAGGUGUGGCUCCCGCUACGAGCGGGUGCUGUGCCGUAGGGAAGCCGCUAAACAGGCCGCCUGGGAAGUACGUCCGCAAGGAUGAAGCUUAAAGGAAUUGGCGGGGGAGCAC